CAUAGCGUAAUGAAGCGAACCGGGGGAACUGAAACAUCUAAGUACCCCGAGGAAAAGAAAUCAACCGAGAUUCCCCCAGUAGCGGCGAGCGAACGGGGAGCAGCCCAGAGUCUGAAUCAGCUUGUGUGUUAGUGGAACGGUCUGGAAAGUCCGACGGUACAGGGUGAUAGUCCCGUACACCAAAAUGCACAGGUUGUGAACUCGAAGAGUAGGGCGGGACACGUGGUAUCCUGUCUGAAUAUGGGGGGACCAUCCUCCAAGGCUAAAUACUCCUGACUGACCGAUAGUGAACCAGUACCGUGAGGGAAAGGCGAAAAGAACCCCGGCGAGGGGAGUGAAAAAGAACCUGAAACCGUGUACGUACAAGCAGUGGGAGCCUCUUUAUGGGGUGACUGCGUACCUUUUGUAUAAUGGGUCAGCGACUUAUAUUCUGUAGCAAGGUUAACCGUAUAGGGGAGCCGAAGGGAAACCGAGUCUUAACUGGGCGUUAAGUUGCAGGGUAUAGACCCGAAACCCGGUGAUCUAGCCAUGGGCAGGUUGAAGGUUGGGUAACACUAACUGGAGGACCGAACCGACUAAUGUUGAAAAAUUAGCGGAUGACUUGUGGCUGGGGGUGAAAGGCCAAUCAAACCGGGAGAUAGCUGGUUCUCCCCGAAAGCUAUUUAGGUAGCGCCUCGUGAAUUCAUCUUCGGGGGUAGAGCACUGUUUCGGCUAGGGGGUCAUCCCGACUUACCAACCCGAUGCAAACUGCGAAUACCGAAGAAUGUUAUCACGGGAGACACACGGCGGGUGCUAACGUCCGUCGUGAAGAGGGAAACAACCCAGACCGCCAGCUAAGGUCCCAAAGUCAUGGUUAAGUGGGAAACGAUGUGGGAAGGCACAGACAGCCAGGAUGUUGGCUUAGAAGCAGCCAUCAUUUAAAGAAAGCGUAAUAGCUCACUGGUCGAGUCGGCCUGCGCGGAAGAUGUAACGGGGCUAAACCAUGCACCGAAGCUGCGGCAGCGACACUAUGUGUUGUUGGGUAGGGGAGCGUUCUGUAAGCCGUUGAAGGUGUACUGUGAGGUAUGCUGGAGGUAUCAGAAGUGCGAAUGCUGACAUAAGUAACGAUAAUGCGGGUGAAAAACCCGCACGCCGGAAGACCAAGGGUUCCUGUCCAACGUUAAUCGGGGCAGGGUGAGUCGACCCCUAAGGCGAGGCCGAAAGGCGUAGUCGAUGGGAAACAGGUUAAUAUUCCUGUACUUGGUGUUACUGCGAAGGGGGGACGGAGAAGGCUAUGUUAGCCGGGCGACGGUUGUCCCGGUUUAAGCAUGUAGGCGGAGGUUCCAGGUAAAUCCGGUACCUUUUUAACGCUGAGGUGUGAUGACGAGGCACUACGGUGCUGAAGUAACAAAUGCCCUGCUUCCAGGAAAAGCCUCUAAGCAUCAGGUAACACGAAAUCGUACCCCAAACCGACACAGGUGGUCAGGUAGAGAAUACCAAGGCGCUUGAGAGAACUCGGGUGAAGGAACUAGGCAAAAUGGUGCCGUAACUUCGGGAGAAGGCACGCUGAUAUGUAGGUGAAGUGAUUUACUCAUGGAGCUGAAAUCAGUCGAAGAUACCAGCUGGCUGCAACUGUUUAUUAAAAACACAGCACUGUGCAAACACGAAAGUGGACGUAUACGGUGUGACGCCUGCCCGGUGCCGGAAGGUUAAUUGAUGGGGUUAUCCGUAAGGAGAAGCUCUUGAUCGAAGCCCCGGUAAACGGCGGCCGUAACUAUAACGGUCCUAAGGUAGCGAAAUUCCUUGUCGGGUAAGUUCCGACCUGCACGAAUGGCGUAAUGAUGGCCAGGCUGUCUCCACCCGAGACUCAGUGAAAUUGAACUCGCUGUGAAGAUGCAGUGUACCCGCGGCAAGACGGAAAGACCCCGUGAACCUUUACUAUAGCUUGACACUGAACACUGGUCCUUGAUGUGUAGGAUAGGUGGGAGGCUUUGAAGUGUGGACGCCAGUCUGCAUGGAGCCAUCCUUGAAAUACCACCCUUUA
rnacentral:rRNA from 1 species